ACAAAAAACUGUCGGCAACGGAUAUCUCGGCUCAAACAUCGAUGAAGAACGUAGCGAAAAAGAUACGUGGUGUGAAGCACUGAAUUCCGUUAUUCAUCGAGUCAAGAAACGCAAGAUCGCCCAAAAGAGUUGGUUGAGGGCACGUCAAAGGAACAUCAC
rnacentral:rRNA from 1 species